UCAUGAUAGUUUUUCAUCUGCCAAACAGACUGAUUUACAUGAAUACAAAGAGAGCAUAUGUGCGACAUGAUGGCUGACAACAGACAUCAAACUCUGACAGUCACUUAAUAGCAGUCACCUCCUGCCAGAAGAGACCGAGCAGCAGACAUCAAAAGUGGAGAAAAGUCAAAAAGAAAGUUUGGCUGUUGGACUCUCAUUGGAAAAAUGAG